UGGGGAAUUUUGGACAAUGGGCGAAAGCCUGAUCCAGCAAUGCCGCGUGAGUGAAGAAGGCCUUCGGGUUGUAAAGCUCUUUUGUCAGGGAAGAAACGGUGAGAGCUAAUAUCUUUUGCUAAUGACGGUACCUGAAGAAUAAGCACCGGCUAACUACGUGCCAGCAGCCGCGGUAAUACGUAGGGUGCAAGCGUUAAUCGGAAUUACUGGGCGUAAAGCGUGCGCAGGCGGUUUUGUAAGUCUGAUGUGAAAUCCCCGGGCUCAACCUGGGAAUUGCGUUGGAGACUGCGAGGCUAGAAUCUGGCAGAGGGGGGUAGAAUUCCACGUGUAGCAGUGAAAUGCGUAGAUAUGUGGAGGGAACACCGAUGGCGAAGGCAGCCCCCCUGGGUCAAGAUUGACGCUCAUGCACGAAAGCGUGGGGAGCAAAACAGGAUUAGAUACCCCUGGUAGUCCACGCCCUAAACGAUGUCUACUGUUGUCGGGUCUUAAUUGACUUGGUAACGCAGCUAACGCGUGAAGUAGACCGCCUGGGGAGUACGGUCGCAAGAUUAAAACUCAAAGGAAUUGNCGGGGUCAUNGCUGUUUCCUG
rnacentral:rRNA from 1 species